rnacentral:lncRNA from 1 species
AUUAACAUUUUGUUCAAGGAAAAAGGAGCAAUCGAAUGAACACAGAAAUCUGAAUAUAAACGGUUGAGUUACUCUGUCAGCAGUAAAAUAAAAAAGUAAAAAAAAAAAUAGAUUAAAAAACAUCUAACUUGAACCUAUACAUUUUGCAUUAUGUACACCCAUCAUCCAGUGGGCCGUAUCUCCUCCAAUUUGGGAUCGCUAUUGAAGGCUCAAAUCGCCACAAUUGGUCGGACGCAUCUCACCUUGAUCGUCCUCGCUCACGUGAGCCCCCAAAUUCACGUACGUGUUCUCCUGCUCCN